CUGUGAGCUCGAUGAGUAGGGCGGGACACGUGGUAUCCUGUCUGAAUAUGGGGGGACCAUCCUCCAAGGCUAAAUACUCCUGACUGACCGAUAGUGAACCAGUACCGUGAGGGAAAGGCGAAAAGAACCCCGGCGAGGGGAGUGAAAAAGAACCUGAAACCGUGUACGUACAAGCAGUGGGAGCACGCUUAGGCGUGUGACUGCGUACCUUUUGUAUAAUGGGUCAGCGACUUAUAUUCUGUAGCAAGGUUAACCGAAUAGGGGAGCCGAAGGGAAACCGAGUCUUAACUGGGCGUUAAGUUGCAGGGUAUAGACCCGAAACCCGGUGAUCUAGCCAUGGGCAGGUUGAAGGUUGGGUAACACUAACUGGAGGACCGAACCGACUAAUGUUGAAAAAUUAGCGGAUGACUUGUGGCUGGGGGUGAAAGGCCAAUCAAACCGGGAGAUAGCUGGUUCUCCCCGAAAGCUAUUUAGGUAGCGCCUCGUGAAUUCAUCUCCGGGGGUAGAGCACUGUUUCGGCAAGGGGGUCAUCCCGACUUACCAACCCGAUGCAAACUGCGAAUACCGGAGAAUGUUAUCACGGGAGACACACGGCGGGUGCUAACGUCCGUCGUGAAGAGGGAAACAACCCAGACCGCCAGCUAAGGUCCCAAAGUCAUGGUUAAGUGGGAAACGAUGUGGGAAGGCCCAGACAGCCAGGAUGUUGGCUUAGAAGCAGCCAUCAUUUAAAGAAAGCGUAAUAGCUCACUGGUCGAGUCGGCCUGCGCGGAAGAUGUAACGGGGCUAAACCAUGCACCGAAGCUGCGGCAGCGACACUAUGUGUUGUUGGGUAGGGGAGCGUUCUGUAAGCCUGCGAAGGUGUGCUGUGAGGCAUGCUGGAGGUAUCAGAAGUGCGAAUGCUGACAUAAGUAACGAUAAAGCGGGUGAAAAGCCCGCUCGCCGGAAGACCAAGGGUUCCUGUCCAACGUUAAUCGGGGCAGGGUGAGUCGACCCCUAAGGCGAGGCCGAAAGGCGUAGUCGAUGGGAAACAGGUUAAUAUUCCUGUACUUGGUGUUACUGCGAAGGGGGGACGGAGAAGGCUAUGUUGGCCGGGCGACGGUUGUCCCGGUUUAAGCGUGUAGGCUGGUUUUCCAGGCAAAUCCGGAAAAUCAAGGCUGAGGCGUGAUGACGAGGCACUACGGUGCUGAAGCAACAAAUGCCCUGCUUCCAGGAAAAGCCUCUAAGCAUCAGGUAACAUCAAAUCGUACCCCAAACCGACACAGGUGGUCAGGUAGAGAAUACCAAGGCGCUUGAGAGAACUCGGGUGAAGGAACUAGGCAAAAUGGUGCCGUAACUUCGGGAGAAGGCACGCUGAUAUGUAGGUGAAGUCCCUCGCGGAUGGAGCUGAAAUCAGUCGAAGAUACCAGCUGGCUGCAACUGUUUAUUAAAAACACAGCACUGUGCAAACACGAAAGUGGACGUAUACGGUGUGACGCCUGCCCGGUGCCGGAAGGUUAAUUGAUGGGGUUAGCGCAAGCGAAGCUCUUGAUCGAAGCCCCGGUAAACGGCGGCCGUAACUAUAACGGUCCUAAGGUAGCGAAAUUCCUUGUCGGGUAAGUUCCGACCUGCACGAAUGGCGUAAUGAUGGCCAGGCUGUCUCCACCCGAGACUCAGUGAAAUUGAACUCGCUGUGAAGAUGCAGUGUACCCGCGGCAAGACGGAAAGACCCCGUGAACCUUUACUAUAGCUUGACACUGAACAUUGAGCCUUGAUGUGUAGGAUAGGUGGGAGGCUUUGAAGUGUGGACGCCAGUCUGCAUGGAGCCGACCUUGAAAUACCACCCUUUAAUGUUUGAUGUUCUAACGUUGACCCGUAAUCCGGGUUGCGGACAGUGUCUGGUGGGUAGUUUGACUGGGGCGGUCUCCUCCUAAAGAGUAACGGAGGAGCACGAAGGUUGGCUAAUCCUGGUCGGACAUCAGGAGGUUAGUGCAAUGGCAUAAGCCAGCUUGACUGCGAGCGUGACGGCGCGAGCAGGUGCGAAAGCAGGUCAUAGUGAUCCGGUGGUUCUGAAUGGAAGGGCCAUCGCUCAACGGAUAAAAGGUACUCCGGGGAUAACAGGCUGAUACCGCCCAAGAGUUCAUAUCGACGGCGGUGUUUGGCACCUCGAUGUCGGCUCAUCACAUCCUGGGGCUGAAGUAGGUCCCAAGGGUAUGGCUGUUCGCCAUUUAAAGUGGUACGCGAGCUGGGUUUAGAACGUCGUGAGACAGUUCGGUCCCUAUCUGCCGUGGGCGCUGGAGAAUUGAGGGGGGCUGCUCCUAGUACGAGAGGACCGGAGUGGACGCAUCACUGGUGUUCGGGUUGUCAUGCCAAUGGCACUGCCCGGUAGCUAAAUGCGGAAGAGAUAAGUGCUGAAAGCAUCUAAGCACGAAACUUGCCCCGAGAUGAGUUCUCCCUGACUCCUUGAGAGUCCUGAAGGAACGUUGAAGACGACGACGUUGAUAGGCCGGGUGUGUAAGCGCAGCGAUGCGUUGAGCUAACCGGUACUAAUGAACCGUGAGGCUUAACCUUACAACGCCGAAG
rnacentral:rRNA from 1 species